rfam:Drosophila grimshawi strain TSC#15287-2541.00 scaffold_15074 genomic scaffold, whole genome shotgun sequence.
AUCGUUUCUAUCUGAAUGAUUGAUCGUGGAAUGAAUUAUAGGAACCUGUAUCGACUUCUCUGCUCUACUAAGACUUGUUCAAAAA